UACGGGGGGGGCAAGCGUUGUUCGGAAUUACUGGGCGUAAAGCGCGUGUAGGUGGACCAGCAAGUCAGGCGUGAAAUCCCUAGGCUCAACCUAGGAACUGCACCUGAAACUUCUGGUCUUGAGUGGUGGAGAGGAAAGCAGAAUUCCUGGUGUAGAGGUGAAAUUCGUAGAUAUCAGGAGGAACACCGGUGGCGAAGGCGGCUUUCUGGACACUUACUGACACUGAGACGCGAAAGCGUGGGGAGCAAACAGG
rnacentral:rRNA from 1 species